rnacentral:tRNA from 6 species
CGAAAUUGGUAGACGCUACGGACUUAAAAAAUCCGUCGACUUUAAAAAUCGUGAGGGUUCAAGUCCCUCUAUCCCCAA